rnacentral:rRNA from 1 species
UUGACCUCGGAUCAGGUAGGGAUACCCGCUGAACUUAAGCAUAUCAAUAAGCGGAGGAAAAGAAACCAACAGGGAUUGCCUCAGUAACGGCGAGUGAAGCGGCAACAGCUCAAAUUUGAAAUCUGGCUCUCGGGCCCGAGUUGUAAUUUGUAGAGGAUGUUUCGAGCAUGGUCUGGCCUAAGUUCCUUGGAACAGGACGUCAUAGAGGGUGAGAAUCCCGUAUGCGGUCAGGUGCCUACGCUCAUGUGAAACUCCUUCGACGAGUCGAGUUGUUUGGGAAUGCAGCUCAAAAUGGGAGGUAAAUUUCUUCUAAAGCUAAAUAUUGGCCAGAGACCGAUAGCGCACAAGUAGAGUGAUCGAAAGAUGAAAAGCACUUUGGAAAGAGAGUUAAACAGUACGUGAAAUUGUUGAAAGGGAAGCGCUUGCAACCAGACUUGCACGCAGCUGAUCAUCCGGGCUUCUGCCCGGUGCACUCGGUUGUGUUCAGGCCAGCAUCAGUUUUGGGGGUGGGAUAAAGGCCCUAGGAAUGUAGCUCCUCUCGGGGAGUGUUAUAGCCUAGGGUGCAAUGCCGCCACCCGGGACUGAGGACCGCGCUUCGGCUAGGAUGC